CGUGCUUAAUACAUGCAAGUCGAACGGAAAGGCCCAGCUUGCUGGGGUGCUCGAGUGGCGAACGGGUGAGUAACACGUGGGUGAUCUGCCCUGCACUUCGGGAUAAGCUUGGGAAACUGGGUCUAAUACCGGAUAGGACCACCGUUUAGUGUCGGUGGUGGAAAGUUUUUUCGGUGUGGGAUGAGCUCGCGGCCUAUCAGCUUGUUGGUGGGGUAAUGGCCUACCAAGGCGUCGACGGGUAGCCGGCCUGAGAGGGUGUACGGCCACAUUGGGACUGAGAUACGGCCCAGACUCCUACGGGAGGCAGCAGUGGGGAAUAUUGCACAAUGGGCGCAAGCCUGAUGCAGCGACGCCGCGUGGGGGAUGACGGCCUUCGGGUUGUAAACUCCUUUCGCUAAGGACGAAGAGAAUAUUGGACGGUACUUGGAGAAGAAGCACCGGCUAACUACGUGCCAGCAGCCGCGGUAAUACGUAGGGUGCGAGCGUUGUCCGGAAUUACUGGGCGUAAAGAGCUCGUAGGUGGUUUGUCGCGUCGUUUGCGUAAGUCCGCAGCUUAACUGCGGGACUGCAGGCGAUACGGGCAUUACUUGAGUGCUGUAGGGGAGACUGGUAUUCCUGGUGUAGCGGUGGAAUGCGCAGAUAUCAGGAGGUACACCGAUGGCGAA
rnacentral:rRNA from 1 species